CUCCCCAAGGGCUGGAUGAAGCUAUUGCAAUCUCAAAGGUUAUGCAAUUUGUUGAAUCACAAGAAUACAAUAUUUUUAGUCGUAUAGUAUUCGGUACUGCUCCUACAGGCCAUACUCUUAGGCUUUUGUCAUU